CCAUAUCACGUUGAAAUACCGGUUAUCGUACGAACAUCGACGUUAAGCAGCGUCGAGUAUGGUUAGUACCUAGAUAGGUGACCGCUUGGGAAAUACCAGGUGCUGUAA